GACGAACGCUGGCGGCAUGCCUAAUACAUGCAAGUCGAACGCUGAAGCACUCUGCUUGCAGAGUGCGCAUGAGUGGCGAACGGGUGAGUAACACGUGGGAAAUCUGCCUAUAAGAGGGGGAUAACAUUCGGAAACGGAUGCUAAUACCGCAUAUAUUCUUGGACCGCCUGGUCCUUGAAAGAAAGACGGCUUUGCUGUCGCUUAUAGAUGAUCCCGCGGCGUAUUAGUUAGUUGGUGGGGUAAAGGCCUACCAAGACAAUGAUACGUAGCCGACCUGAGAGGGUGAUCGGCCACACUGGGACUGAGACACGGCCCAGACUCCUACGGGAGGCAGCAGUAGGGAAUCUUCCACAAUGGGCGAAAGCCUGAUGGAGCAAUGCCGCGUGAAUGAAGAAGGUCUUCGGAUCGUAAAGUUCUGUUAUUAGAGAAGAACAAGUCAAGGAGUAACUGUCUUGACUUUGACGGUACCUAACCAGAAAGUCACGGCUAACUACGUG
rnacentral:rRNA from 1 species